GGAGAGGUGCUCGAGUGGUUGAAGAGGCACGCCUGGAAAGCGUGUAUACCCCAAAAGGGUAUCGGGGGUUCGAAUCCCCCUCUCUCCGCAA
rnacentral:tRNA from 1 species